AACGAACGCUGGCGGCAGGCUUAACACAUGCAAGUCGAGCGCCCCGCAAGGGGAGCGGCAGACGGGUGAGUAACGCGUGGGAACCUACCCAUCUCUACGGAAUAACGCAUGGAAACGUGUGCUAAUACCGUAUACGUCCUUCGGGAGAAAGAUUUAUCGGAGAUGGAUGAGCCCGCGUUGGAUUAGCUAGUUGGUGGGGUAAAGGCCUACCAAGGCGACGAUCCAUAGCUGGUCUGAGAGGAUGAUCAGCCACACUGGGACUGAGACACGGCCCAGACUCCUACGGGAGGUAGCAGUGGGGAAUAUUGGACAAUGGGCGCAAGCCUGAUCCAGCCAUGCCGCGUGAGUGAUGAAGGCCCUAGGGUUGUAAAGCUCUUUCACCGGUGAAGAUAAUGACGGUAACCGGAGAAGAAGCCCCGGCUAACUUCGUGCCAGCCGCCGCAGUAAAAC
rnacentral:rRNA from 1 species